CUCUCUCCCUCUCUCUCUCUCUCUCUCUCUCUUUCUCUGCGUUUUCUGUUUUGUUUUCUCUGGAGAGAAAGAUAAAAGGGAAAAACGUAAGGUGAAAAGUUUUAUAGUUUCCGCUUCUCCUUCUCUAAUUUCAUAUUCCCUCCACCUUAGGUUUUUGCAGAGCUUCGAAGAAGAAUCACAUAUAUAAUCUAAACCUAUAUACACCUUUUUUUUGCUUCCAUUUCUUCGACUGAAGAAGACUUUGGCUAUUCGACGACUCAACGAUCCCCUCGGAUUUUGGUGAUCUCUGCUCGGAGCUAAGGGAUUAGAAUUCUCGCUGGAAUCGGUUUGGCUUUGAAUCGGAGUUGGAAGCAUGAUUUGAGGUUCGAGAGGGGAAGAGUUUAACGGAGAUGAAGAGGUCUCGUGACGACGGUUAUACAAGCUCGCAAGUUAAACGGCCCAUGGUUACCUCUCGAGGCGAGCCCUCGGGGCAGCCGCAGAUGAUGACAGCAACAGCUUCCCAGAAACUAACAACCAAUGAUGCCUUAUCAUAUCUAAAGGCGGUGAAGGAGAUAUUUGAAAACAACAAGGAAAAAUACGAAGACUUUCUUGAAGUUAUGAAAGACUUCAAAGCUCAGAGAGUUGACACCUCGGGUGUGAUACAGAGGGUAAAGGAUUUAUUUAAAGGGCAUCGAGACCUAAUAUUAGGCUUCAAUACCUUCUUGCCAAAGGGAUAUGAAAUCACUCUCCCUCUCGAUGACGAACAACCUCCUCAAAAGAAGCCCGUUGAAUUUGAAGAAGCUAUCAGUUUUGUCAACAAAAUUAAGACUCGAUUUCAACAUGAUGAUCAUGUUUAUAAAUCCUUUUUGGACAUUUUGAAUAUGUACAGAAAGGAAAACAAGUCCAUCUCUGAAGUUUACCAGGAGGUCUCAGCACUUUUUCAAGACCACCCAGACUUACUUGUGGAGUUUACUCACUUUUUACCUGAUACUUCAGCAACAGCCUCCACCCAGUUUGCUCCAUCUCAAAGAAACUCAAUGCUUCGUGAUAGGAGCUCUGCCAUGCCCCCUAUGAGGCAAAUGCAUGUUGAUAAGAAAGAAAGGCCUAUGGGUUCUUACCCUGAGCAUGAUCUCAGUGUUGACCGUCCUGAUCUGGACCAUGAUAGAGCUCUGAUGAAAGCUGAGAAAGAGCAAAGGAGGCGUGGUGAAAAAGAAAAGGAGAGGAGAGAAGACAGAGAAAGACGAGAUGAUAGGGAUUUUGACCAUGAUGACAGUAGGGACUUCAACAUGCAGCGUUUUCCACACAAACGGAAAUCCACUCGUAGGGGUGAAGACUUGGCUACUGACCAAUUGCAUCAAGGUGGGGAAGACGAUGAAAACCUUGGAGCACAUCUCAUUUCAUCUUCUUAUGAUGAUAAAAAUUCUGCAAAAAGUAUAUAUGGCUCGGAGAGUGCCUUCUGUGAGAAGGUGAAGGAGAAGUUACGAAAUCCUGAUGAUUAUCAGGAGUUUUUGAAGUGCCUCCAUAUUUAUAGCAAGGAAAUUAUUACCCGGGCUGAAUUGCAGUCAUUGGUGGGUGAUUUACUUGGAAAAUAUCCGGAUCUUAUGGAUGGGUUCAAUGAAUUUUUGUCAUGUUGUGAGAAGAAAGAUGGGUUCCUUGCUGGUGUCAUGAGUAAAAAAUCUUUGUGGAAUGAAGGCAAUCUACCAAGACCAGUGAAGGUAGAGGAUAAGGAGAAAGAUCGAGAUCGUGAAAGGGAUGAUGUGGUUAGAGAUAGAGAGCGUGAAAACCGAGAAAGGGAUAGACCUGAUAGAAAUGGUGCCUUUGGAAAUAAAGAAAUUGGAGGCCAGAAGAUCUCUAUAUUUUCCGGCAAGGACAAAUAUUUGGCAAAACCUAUUAAUGAGCUUGACCUCUCUAAUUGUGAGCGUUGCACUCCGAGCUAUCGUCUUCUGCCAAAGAAUUAUCCAAUACCUUCUGCUAGCCAAAGAACAGAACUUGGGUCUGAAGUACUAAAUGAUCAUUGGGUGUCUGUUACUUCUGGAAGCGAGGAUUAUUCUUUUAAACACAUGCGCAAAAACCAGUAUGAAGAAAGCCUGUUUCGGUGUGAAGAUGAUAGGUUUGAAUUAGAUAUGCUGUUAGAGUCUGUGAAUGUAACGACCAAGCGUGUGGAAGAACUAUUAGAGAAGAUCAACAACAAUACCAUUAAGACUGAGAGUCCAAUCCGUGUAGAAGAAUACUUCACAGCUCUGAAUCUAAGGUGCGUUGAGCGAUUAUAUGGUGACCACGGGCUUGAUGUAAUGGAUGUGUUGAGGAAAAAUGCUCCACUAGCUUUGCCUGUUAUAUUAACGCGCUUGAAGCAAAAGCAAGAAGAGUGGGCAAGGUGUCGCUCUGAUUUUAACAAAGUCUGGGCUGAUAUAUAUGCCAAGAACUAUCACAAGUCACUUGAUCAUCGUAGCUUCUACUUCAAGCAACAGGACUCAAAGAGCUUAAGCACCAAAGCCUUGUUGGCAGAGAUUAAAGAGAUGAGUGAGAAGAAGCGGAAGGAAGAUGAUGUUCUUCUUGCUAUUGCUGCUGGAAAUAGACGUCCUAUUAUUCCAAAUUUGGAAUUCGAGUACCCUGAUCCGGACAUCCAUGAAGAUCUGUAUCAACUCAUCAAAUAUUCUUGUGGAGAAGUUUGCACAACCGAGCAAUUGGACAAAGUUAUGAAGAUAUGGACAACCUUCCUUGAGCCAGUGCUUGGUGUUCCUCCUCGGCCUCAGGUUGCAGAGGAUACUGAAGAUGUUGUGAAGGCAAAAACUCAUGCUGGCAAAAAUGGUGCUGUGAGUGGGGGAGAGAGUGAUGAUAAUCCUGAUGGUGGGGCUACUGUGACAAAUUCUAAACAGUUAAAUUCAUCGAGAAAUGGAGACGAAAGCAUUCAACCUGAACAAUCAAGCUCUGCAAGAGCUUGGACAGUAAAUGGAGCUAAUGGGCUCAAAGAAGAAAGUUCUCAUGACAUUGAUCGUGCUACAUGUAAAGGUGAUACUUUCUGCAAUACCUCUCAACAAGGUAAAGUGCAAAGUAAUGCAUCUACAGCCGAUGAAAUGUCUGGAGUUAGCAAACAAGACAAUUUUAAUGAACGAUUAGUCAAUUCUAAUGUAUCACUUGCUACUGGCUUGGAGCAAAGCAAUGGAAGAACUAAUGUGGAAAACUCAUCAGGUCUUAGUCCUACUCCUUCCAGACCUGGAAAUUGCACUGUUGAGGGUGGGCUUGAGUUACCUUCACGGUCUUCACCAGAGGGUGGUGAUUCUACUAGACCAGUAAUAUCCUCAAAUGGAGCAACCACAGAAGCCACGAAAGGUCACAGAUAUGUGGAAGAGUCGGUUAGACACUUCAAGAUUGAAAGAGAAGAAGGUGAAAUAUCUCCAAAUGGAGAUUUUGAGGAGGAUAAUUUUGCAAACUAUAGAGAAGCCGGUUCAGAGGCUGUUCAAAAACCAAAGGAUGGUGUUUCCAGCAGGCAACUUAAAGGCAGGCAUGGGGAAGAAGAAAUAUGUGGUGGAGAUGCAGGUGGAGAAAAUGAGGCUGACGCUGAUGAUGAAGGUGAGGAAAGUGCUCAUAGAUCAUCAGAGGAUAGUGAGAAUGCUUCCGAGAAUGGCGAUGUCUCUGGAAGUGAAUCUGGUGAAGGAGAGGAAUGUUCUCGAGAAGAGCGUGAGGAAGAUGGGGACCAUGAUGAGCAUGAUACUAAGGCCGAAAGUGAAGGUGAAGCUGAAGGGACGGCCGACGCCCAUGAUGUUGAAGGAGAUGGAACUUCUUUACCGCACUCAGAACGUUUUCUACUUUCUGUGAAGCCUCUUGCAAAACAUGUUCUUCCAGCUUUACAUGACAAGGACAAGGACUCAAGGAUUUUCUAUGGAAACGAUUCUUUCUAUGUACUUUUUAGGCUUCACCAAACACUAUAUGAGAGAAUACAAUCAGCAAAGAUUAACUCGUCAUCAGCGGAGAAGAAGUGGCGGGCAUCAAAUGAUACAAGCACUUCUGAUUCGUAUGCUAGAUUCAUGAAUGCCCUUUACAAUUUACUUGACGGUUCUUCUGACAAUACAAAAUUUGAGGAUGAUUGUCGAGCUAUCAUUGGGACUCAGUCAUAUCUUCUUUUCACAUUAGACAAGCUGAUCUACAAGCUUGUUAAACAGCUUCAAACAGUCGCCAGUGACGAGAUGGAUAAUAAACUUGUCCAACUAUAUGCAUUUGAAAAAUCAAGAAAACCAGGAAGAUUUGUGGAUGUAGUUUAUCAUGAAAAUGCUCGUGUUCUUCUUCACGAUGAGAACAUUUAUCGCAUAGAAUGUUUCUCUUUGCCAACCCGGGUGUCUAUUCAGCUUAUGGAUUAUGGGAAUGAUAAGCCUGAAAUGACUGCUGUUUCAAUGGACCCUAAUUUUUCUGCUUAUCUGCACAAUGAUUUUCUCACUGUUCUUCCUGACAAAAGAGAGAAGUCUGGGAUCUUCUUGAAGAGGAACAAACGCAAAUAUGCGAGUUGUGAUGAUUUGUCUGCUAUUUGUCAGGCCAUGGAAGGACUUAAAGUCGCCAAUGGUCUGGAGUGUAAGAUAGCUUGUCAUUCAUCCAAGGUAUCAUAUGUUUUAGAUACAGAAGACUUUUUGUUUCGGACAAAAAGGAGAAAAAAAACUUCAAACAGUUCCUGCCAUAACCAGGCUAGGUCUUCUAGUGGUUCAAGUAGAGUAGAGCGGUUUCACCAGUUGCUCUCUGGCUCAUGAUAUGCCUUCUUUUGACCGUCAAGUAUAUAUGUAGCAUUUUCAACGCAUUGUAUGCACCAGCGCUGGAGAUUUGGAAAAAUUGACGCGCUGUGAGCGAAAGAAGCUUGUGGAAUUACUUUGUAUCCUCAUAUUUCCGCCUCUCCGACCAAAUAAAGAAAUGAGAGAGGGAGAUAUGGCUCGAAAGUAGUAUACUUUGAGUUGGCACUUUGAGCCGCAUUCUUGUAAAUAGAGUUCUUGUAUGUAUCGGUCAUCAAAAUGGCCUGCUGGCUGAUAUGCCUGCCUUGAAAAGGUCGAACAGCCACUGUUACGGACCUCAAUUGUUUAAACUGUUUUAAAAGGGUUUUUUUUUUCAUCA